rnacentral:tRNA from 1 species
AACAAAAUAGCUUAAAAUUAAAGUUUUUAUUUUACACAUAAAAGAUAAAUUAAAUAUUUUUUUGUUA